GGGGGUGUAAAGGUUUCGACUGGGGUGUAGAAUCGAGAUAAGCGAGCGGUAGUUUGCCAGUCUACCUAAAAAAGGCACGUUAAAUAUAAACGCUAAAAAGAAUAAUAAUUUCGCACCAAUGGCUCUGGCUGCUUAGUCAGUCAUAAGCUGUGCGUGUCGACUCCGGUUUACCUGUAGGCCGGAUGUUCGGCAUCGACUAUACAGGAAAACUCUGCGUGAGCUCCCGGUAGCGCAGGGGAACAACGGGAUAGCCGAGGCGUAGCCUGUCAGUGGGCGCCGUCCUAGGUGAAGAUAAAAAUCGCUGACUGCGCUCGGAGAAAGUCUCGUGGAAAUGCUUUAGGACGUGGGUUCGAUUCCCACCAUCUCCACCA
rnacentral:sRNA from 1 species